rnacentral:tRNA from 1 species
AUAACCAAUACCUGCUCAGGUAGCUUAACCU